GCAUAUCAAUAAGCGGAGGAAAAGAAACUAACAAGGAUUCCCCUAGUAGCGGCGAGCGAAGCGGGAAGAGCUCAAAUUUAUAAUCUGGCACCUUCGGUGUCCGAGUUGUAAUCUCUAGAAAUGUUUUCCGCGUUGGACCGCACACAAGUCUGUUGGAAUACAGCGGCAUAGUGGUGAGACCCCCGUAUAUGGUGCGGACGCCCAGCGCUUUGUGAUACAUYUUCGAAGAGUCGAGUUGUUUGGGAAUGCAGCUCAAAUUGGGUGGUAAAUUCCAUCUAAAGCUAAAUAUUGGCGAGAGACCGAUAGCGAACAAGUACCGUGAGGGAAAGAUGAAAAGCACUUUGGAAAGAGAGUUAACAGUACGUGAAAUUGUUGGAAGGGAAACGCUUGAAGUCAGACUUGCUUGCCGAGCAAUCGGUUUGCAGGCCAGCAUCAGUUUUCCGGGAUGGAUAAUGGUAGAGAGAAGGUAGCAGUYUCGGCUGUGUUAUAGCUCUCUGCUGGAUACAUCUUGGGGGACUGMGGAACSCAGUGUGCCYUUUGGCGGGGGUUUCGACCUCUUCACACUUAGGAUGCUGGUGGAAUGGCUUUAAACGACCCGUCUUGAAACACGGACCAAGGAGUCA
rnacentral:rRNA from 1 species